UAAUGAUACUUGCGUCCAGUCGACAGGCCGAGCGCCCACGCGGUCAGCAAAACCGUGAUCCGUCGCAGCCAACGAGGGCGCCUCGCAGAGAACCUGGGAGUGGUGAAAUUCCAAUGA
rnacentral:ncRNA from 1 species